AAACAGAAACAGUUAGUGGGUAACACUGAGUGAAAUUAGGAGGAGACUUGAAGAGAAAGAGAAGAAUCUGAAGGAGACGACGAGGACAGUGGAGGAGAUGAAGCUCAACCAUUUUAUGACCAUUAUGUCCAGUAACCACACACAUCAUGCAGAUACAGGAGUCAUCAGUUUUACAGAAUAUCUCCAGACUUUUCUGAUGUUUCUCACAGAGUUUCUCCUUCAGAUUGCUAUCAGGAUCAACCAGCUUGUGGUGCUUCAGGGCGUCUCCUUCGUAGUGAAGCUGCAGGCCUCGUGCUGAAGUUUUCUCUACACUGAGGACAGCUGCACACUUGGCUCUGAUCCCAGCAGUCCGUGAGGCACUUCAGACAAAAACUGUGACCACAGGGGAUGGUGACGGG